UUAACUUAAUAGGGAACAGGUGCCUGCCAGGUUAAAAGGGAAUCAGGUGUAAAUCCUGAGCGGUCGCGCCACUGUAACCGGGGAGCCUGCUUCAAGGCCACUGGUAUUAUACCGGGAAGGCGAAGCCGGGCAAGGAGCCGGAGCCAGGAAACCUGCCUGUUCAUUUCACCCUCG
rnacentral:ncRNA from 1 species